GACGAACGCUGGCGGCGUGCCUAAUACAUGCAAGUAGAACGCUGAAGCGAGGAGCUUACUCUUCUUGGAUGAGUUGCGAACGGGUGAGUAACGCGUAGGUAACCUGCCUUGUAGCGGGGGAUAACUAUUGGAAACGAUAGCUAAUACCGCAUAACAAUGGAUGACACAUGUCAUUUAUUUGAAAGGGGCAAUUGCUCCACUACAAGAUGGACCUGCGUUGUAUUAGCUAGUAGGUGAGGUAAUGGCUCACCUAGGCGACGAUACAUAGCCGACCUGAGAGGGUGAGCGGCCACACUGGGACUGAGACACGGCCCAGACGCCUACGGGAGGCAGCAGUAGGGAAUCUUCGGCAAUGGGGGCAACCCUGACCGAGCAACGCCGCGUGAGUGAGGAAGGUUUUCGGAUCGUAAAGCUCUGUUGUAAGUCAAGAACGGGUGUGAGAGUGGAAAGUUCACACUGUGACGGUAGCUGACCAGAAAGGGACGGCUAACUACGUG
rnacentral:rRNA from 1 species